rnacentral:lncRNA from 1 species
GUUUGAUCAUUAAUAAAAUUGGAACUUCAUAUGAUAAAGUAAUGGAGGAAGAAAAUAGGAAAAGACAAAGAAAUAGUUGAUUGAACCUGCUGACGCCCAGACCCACUCUUUUAGGCUGUAAGAUGCACUGGAGCAUCUUGUCAAGCAACAUAAUUUUAAAAGCCAUUAUUUCUCCUCUUUAUCUACAAACAACAAAGUCAGCAGAUUAAGGCAAAGCAUGACAUAGGCAUGCUGUCCCCUGGCCAAAGCCUGUGUGGGACACAGACUAAAUGAGAGUUGGGAGCUUAAAACCCUGGACCUCAGCGACUUGAGGUUCCGAGUACGGGAAUGAGGAGGCUUGGCUGCAGUCAGGCAGCGAUAGCUGUUUAGAAUGGAGCCACAUGACACUGUCGCAGAGGCUGUUUUUCUUCCAUCUGGCUGCAAAGUUGAAGUCUAUCCACAAAGAAAGGAAACUCAGUCACUGUGCAGCCUCAGAGUCCAGGGCGUGUAUGCUCUUUCUGGACUUGCCCAGAUCAGUCCCAAGCAAAAGCUGGAGGGCUGGUCUUCCCUCCAUGCCUGUCCUUGAUGGUCCCAGCAGCUCUUAUCUGUCCUACAGGAUCACCUGACCUCCUUUACCUGGGUUCUCAUCCUUCCAAUUCCACCUGGGAGGCAGUCCCCUGCAGGAGUGCUGCAGGGCCACACCCUCUGCUCGCUGAGGAGCGGUCGGUGGGCUACACCUUAUUCAGCUUUGGUGACACUACCUCAAUGCUGGUGAAGUAACC